rnacentral:lncRNA from 1 species
GUUUUGCUCAAGUUGAUGGGAUUACCAUCCAGUCUGAUGUCUUCAAGAGCCCUGCGUACAUAAGAGAAAUCUCUCAUUUUGCAGAAAGUAUCUUCAUGCAUCUCUUGAAUGUUGUUGUUCUGAAGAUGAAGAGCUUGGAGACUUUCAGGGAGUGGCAAUGGAACGUGAUCCAAGUUAUUGUCAGUGAUAUAAAGAUGCUGUAAUUCAUGCAGAUCUUUAAAUGCCUCAUUACGGAUUCCCUUGCGACCAAGCCUGUUGUUACUAAUAUCAAUCAAAGUCAAGGUAGAUGGCAGCUCAGGAAGUUGCCUUAUCCUAUUGUCACGGAGCACAAGUUCCAGAAGUUGGGGCAGUCUCCGGAAGGCAUCUUCAUGGAUCUCUGAUAUUAGAUUUGCAGUCA